UACGUAGGGGGCAAGCGUUGUCCGGAUUUAUUGGGCGUAAAGAGCUCGUAGGCGGCUUGGCAAGUCGGGUGUGAAACCUCCAGGCUCAACCUGGAGACGCCACUCGAUACUGCUAUGGCUAGAGUCCGGUAGGGGACCACGGAAUUCCUGGUGUAGCGGUGAAAUGCGCAGAUAUCAGGAGGAACACCGGUGGCGAAGGCGGUAGUCUGGGCCGGCACUGACGCUGAGGAGCGAAAGCGUGGGUAGCAAACAGG
rnacentral:rRNA from 1 species